rnacentral:rRNA from 1 species
UACGGGGGGGGCAAGCGUUGUUCGGAAUUACUGGACGUAAAGGGCUCGUAGGCGGCCAACUAAGUCAUACGUGAAAUCCCUCGGCUUAACCGGGGAACUGCGUCUGAUACUGGAUGGCUUGAGAUUGGGAGAGGGAUGCGGAAUUCCAGGUGUAGCGGUGAAAUGCGUAGAUAUCUGGAGGAACACCGGUGGCGAAGGCGGCAUCCUGGACCAACACUGACGCUGAGGAGCGAAAGCCAGGGGAGCAAACGGG